rnacentral:rRNA from 1 species
AUCGGUAUGGGAUGGACCUGCGUCUGAUUAGCUUGUUGGUGGGGUAACGGCCUACCAAGGCGACGAUCAGUAGCCGACCUGAGAGGGUGAUCGGCCACAUUGGAACUGAGACACGGUCCAAACUCCUACGGGAGGCAGCAGUGGGGAAUAUUGCACAAUGGGGGAAACCCUGAUGCAGCAACGCCGCGUGAAGGAAGAAGGCCUUUGGGUCGUAAACUUCUGUUCUGAGGGAAGAAGAAAGUGACGGUACCUCAGGAGAAAGCCCCGGCUAACUACGUGCCAGCAGCCGCGGUAAUACGUAGGGGGCAAGCGUUGUCCGGAAUUAUUGGGCGUAAAGAGUACGUAGGCGGUUUGCUAAGCGCAAGGUGAAAGGCAGUGGCUUAACCAUUGUAAGCCUUGCGAACUGACAGACUUGAGUGCAGGAGAGGAAAGCGGAAUUCCUAGUGUAGCGGUGAAAUGCGUAGAUAUUAGGAGGAACACCGGUGGCGAAGGCGGCUUUCUGGACUGUAACUGACGCUGAGGUACGAAAGCGUGGGGAGCAAACAGGAUUAGAUACCCUGGUAGUCCACGCCGUAAACGAUGA